UGGCGAUUUCCGGUUGUAUCGUGUAAUGGAGGAUUUUUCAAGUCUCGGUGUGCGUGUGGGAAAAAAGUAUUAUUUAAGCAUCUGUUUGUCGUUUUAUGCGAUUUUGGACAGAAAAUGAUUAUACUGAAAUGCGUUUGAAAAGAGCAGUCGUGGAGUGGCAUCAGUGGAGAAUUACCAUUUUCAGUGACCAAAUCACACUGGUUUCACGCUGCAUGAAGAACAUCCGUCCUCCCACCACCACACAAUGAGGACAUUGACUUCAGACUAAGGGAAAUACAUGUUGGAAGUUGCGCCCUUUUAGUACACAGCAGCUAUGAGGAGUUCCAGUAAUAAAGUUGUUGCUGUGUGUUGACAGUCUUGGAGAGGCAUGAGGUGCUGUUCUUUGUGAUGAAGGGUGUACUCAGUUUUCUGCUGAAUGAGGAACAUCUCUCGUCUCCCCACCAUACUUCAGCCGUACUGUGUCACAGCUGUGUGGAGGUUACAUAGUAAAGACAUAUGUACAGCUGUGGCAGAACCUGUAAGCAAUGUGUUUCCUAGAAUGAUUUCCAUGGUUACUUCACUGACCUCCAGAGAUACUAUCAGGAGAUUACACAUAAGUGGAAACCACCACUGAUCUGCCAUUAUGGUGCACCCAUUCCUGUGCUUAUCCUGAAAAACAAAUGUUGCAAUUGUUAGUGGGACUCAUCCAUACAAAGAAGCUGUGAGCUCUACAUGACCAACCCCUCUUGUCAGCAUGGAAGGAAGAGUGACGCGAACACCAAGAAGUCAACAAGUGAACAGGUUGGAGAAGCUUACAUGUACCACAUAUUACUAGACACAUGAAUUAAAAAUUAUAGAAACUGAAUUCCUAAAUGUGGAAUGAAGAAGUGUGCUACAAAACUACCGAGUCUACCACACUGCUUAGUAACAUACAGACUGUACUCGAAGCUCUGUAGACUGGUCUCCAAAAUGAAAUUUGCCUUAGGAGCCAGUAAACAGUAUAGUCAAGCCCCGAUUUGAGGUGUUCAGUUUAUAUAAAUUCCACAUGUUCCCCUGUCCACUGCUUCCCAAAGAAACCUGACAUGGGGGUUUCACUGUAUAGCACUGAAUUCAAAGUCAUAUCACCUCAGAUUAAUUUUAAAUCUUAAAAAUAUGGUGGCACUGCAAACUUCUUCAGGAAUAGUAUCUGUCAAGUUAAUGAAAAUAUAAAAGUAAAAAUGGCAAACACAAGCCUGUGUUUCAUUUUUCUGAAUACACAGCUUAAAGCAUUUACUAAGUUGUGUCCCAUCUGGUCUAUAAGUCAUACACUUAAACACCAGAACAGUGGGUGUGAAUUUUCACUUUGAGGGGAGCUAAUGCAAUGGAUGGAAGCAAAGAUGGAAGUAAUUUCUGGAUCCUUUUGAAACAAAUAUUUGGACACUAAGCAGUAACUGAGAUGGAUUGUGUUCUUCAAGCUAACAUCUCUGUGCUUUUUGCAGUUCCUUUAUGAGCUUACUGUACACCAAGCAGAAGUACCUGUUCUUUGCAUAGGAUAUAGUUGCUUGAAUCAGUACAUUUGUAACCAUCAACACAACAUUUAAAGUAGGAGUAAUAACAAAGGUUAUUUACAUUAAUGAACAGUCUCAAAGACUGAAUGCAGAACAUGACAAUACAUCUCAACUUACACCCCAUUAUAAAUAACAUGCAGUGCAAGAGACCUAUAAAAUCACUACCUGGCCUACAACACCAAGGAAGAAUCAAGAUAAAAAUAGCCAGUGUACCAUUAGAAUGAUCAAAUAGAAAUUCAUGACCAAUUCUCACUAUUUAUUCUUAUUUAUAUAACUUGGCAAUUUAACAGAAAUCCAUACAUACUGGGUGUAGCACUAAAAUUCUUUUCACUUGUUUUACACCAAUAUGGCUUCAAGCCAAGGAGUAAUCAAACCACAGGUUAUUACUAAACAAUAAUCACAUAAUUUUAUAGUCAAAUAUGAACAAAAUAUGGAUCCAUAUUUGAACAGAAAAAUUCAGCAACUAAGUAAACUGAGAUAUGCCUGAUGAUGACCCAGUAAGGGUUGAAACAUGUUGUGUUGACAGUUAUAAGUAUACUGUUUCAAAUGACACGUAACAGGAUGCAACACCGAAAGAUGUAGUUGCUGUCCUUGUCAAUGUCACAGUAUAUACAUAGUAAGUAAAACAGAGAAGGCAGGGAAUAAGAAUUAAAAUUGGACCCAUAAACUCUAUUGGGAUAUCCGCACGGUGCUUUAACUGCUGUAUAUUUUGCAAAACAAAGUAAAUUUCAUAUUUUGAGUGUUCUCUUUUAGAUCUGCAAUAGAAAAGAAGAAAGUUACGUCUUUGUAUACUUAGGUUCCCUUUGAUAUUCUAUUUGUGUAUGUCAGUUCACCUACUUCAGUGUUCAUGUAAAGUUUUCUUGGUAUUUGAGACACACGGACACACAAGAUGAAGACAAUUCUCUGACCUACUCCAGCACUGGAGUAAUGCAGACAUACACAGAAAAUUACACUCUGAAAACAAAA